UUUUUAUAUGUAGAUCUCACUUAAAAUUUUUAUUUCAGAUAAAUAAUGUACAAUCGAAUGCUUGUAGCAAUAUGGGUUGAUUUGGGCUCUUUGAUAAUUACAAGAGGCUAUUAAAAAUGCAUUUUGUGUCUCUAUUUCUAAAGCUCAUUUUGUCUGGUUUCAAUUCUGAAUAAGAAAUUGUUUUGUGUAAGUUUAGUCAAGUGAUCAGUGAAAAGAUGACUUCAGUGUGUGAAAUUUUAUGUCAGAAACUAUGUGUGUCACCUUCCAGCAAUGAUAAUGCUCAUAUUUAUGGGUAAAGAUGAAUCAAAAUUGAUAUAAUUCAGGAUAUUCAAUGAAAUGGAUAAUUCAUGUCCAAGAUUAAAAUUUUGAUCCUUAGCAUACAAUUUGUGUUUAAAAUCUUGCUUCUAUUUAGUGAGGUGUCUGAGCGUUACUGUAAUGUAAUUGAUGAAGAGAUAGAUGGUUUGAACAGAUGAUGUUCAAGGCUUCCCUUUGGCAUGCCCCAUAAACCUUGCCAAGUGCAUCUCAGAGUCUGCUUCCCAGGGAACCCAGCCAAAGACAGUAUGAUAGCAGAGCUGAGAGUUUGGAGCUGGAUCACCCUUCAGCUGGCUGACAAUGUGGCCCUGUCAUUGGUGAUGGGUGGAGUGCCAAUGAUACCUAGCAUGCUCUGAGCAGUUUGUUAUGGGCUGAGCUGUGUUCCCUUGAAAUUGAAGGCUUUUUUUUUAAUGUUUAUGUAUUUAUUUUGGGAGAAAGGGUAUGAGCGGGGGAGAGUCAGAGACAGAGAGGGAGAGAGAGAAUCCCAAGCAAGCUUCUUGUGGUCAGUGCUGAGCCUGACGUGGGCUCAAUCUCAGGAACCAUAAGAUCAUGACUUGAGCUGAAAUCAGGAGUCAGACACUCAACUAACUGAGUCACCCAGGUGUCCCCCUACCCUGAAAUUGAAGUUCUAAUCCCUAGGACCUCAGAAUAUGAUUCUACUCUGGAGAUAGGGCUUUUAAAGAACCGAGUUCAAAUGUGGUCAUUAGUGUGGGACCCUAAUCUAACAUGGUAGAGAGAUGAUUGGAACCCAGAUACAUACAGAAACCCGUGUGAAGAUGUAGAGAGAAGACAGCCAUCUACAGGUCAAGAAGAGAGACCUUAGAAGAAACCAAGUGGGCGACACUUGGUCUUAGACUUGGAGCUCCACGGUUGUGAGAAAAUACAUUUUUGUUGUUUAAUCCACCCAGUUCCUAACACUUUGUUACAGUAGCCCUAGCAAACAAAUACACAGGACAACUGCUAAAAUGCUUACCAAUGGUGAACUGGGACAGGAUACCAGUGGAAGGGGAUUCGUUAGCAUUUGCAGCAUCUCAGGUGUCUGAGAGGGUCAGAGGAAGUAGCGAUUAAUAAGGCUAUGCAUGGGCUGAGCUGUCUGUAGCUGAAUAUCACUGAUGCAUUGGAGGAAAUCUGCAAAAGGAGGGCAAAGAUUAUUAACUGAUGUAAGGUGAACGAUAAGAAGUCAGAUGGCUACCUGGCAGCAUAUAAAAGGACUGUUCUCUCCUGCAACUAGAAGGCAGAAAAAAACUGAGGGUAAGUCUCUAAGACUUAAUUCCAAGGGGGUGAGAACUGAAAGAAGAUUGAAUUCUCGACCUUGGUAAGUUGGCUUCUUCAAGGCCAGGAUCCCAGUUGCAAAAAAAACAAAAAAGCAAAAACCAAAAAACAACAAAAAACAAAAGCAACAAACAAACAAACAAAACAGUCCCAGUUGCAAAAAAAAAAAACAAAACCCAAAACCCAAAAACCAAAACCAAAACCAAAACAAAAAACAAACAAAACAGACACUGAGAUUUGUGAUAAGGACAUCUGAGCCAAUGCACAAAAAACAUAGUCAACUGCCAAGAUUGUCCCAAAACCUCUGUGUCUGCAGAAACGGACAACUCUUCUUUAUUAAAAUCAGAGUUCCUUUUUUGCUUGAAGGUAAUGUUAAGUGCAAAGGAAGUAUAUUCUAAAGGAGCUUCAGGAUUUUCCAACAUGUACCUCGGUGAAUACAAAUGGAACUGGGCAUUAUGGUGCUGGGUCAAGGUGGCUAAUGGGAGAGUUUAUUGAUAAGGGUCACUUUUCUCACAAUAUAGGAUCUAACACCCUGGAAAGACCAUCUUACAAUGUCAAUAUGUUGCCAGGCUGAUUCUUGGAAGCAACAAUGGAUACUAAUGCAUCCCUGUCCACUGGUGUUCUGUCCCAGUUCACCAUUGGUAUACAUCUUAACAGUUGUCCUGGGUAUUUGUUUGCUAGGGCUGCUAUAACAACAAAGUAAAUAGGAAUUCCAUAAUCACUGUGGAAGAUGGCUGAGAUAGAAAUGGUCAUGCUAGAGUAGAUAUCCUACUUAAGGUCAGAAGACCCAAAAUGAUUACAUUUUCCAGGAGAUACUCUGUUUUCACAAAAUGAGAAGGAGAACAUUGGAGAGAGAAGCACCAGAUUCACUGAGAAGCACAGUGAGGAUUUUAUAGUUCAAGACUCAGAAUAAAAGGUGAUGUCAUAGAUGUGACUCACUAAUUGCAAUGGGAAUAACCAUAUCCCCCAAAAGAGGCCAGGUUAUGGUACUUAACCAUGAGAAGCUCGGUGAGUGCAAAUAUCAGAAUAGUUGGUAAGGUCAGAGUAGCCAUAAAGGGAGCCUAACCUACAGUGAGAUGGCUUGUAUAACACGGUGUUCCUAAGGCCAAUAUAGGUGAUUAAUCUCAGGAAGAUUGCCUAAUGUGUACAAUUAAGAUAAAGCCAAAGAUUCUAACAGCACUCUAGUUUCUGGAUUCUAGACCGUUCUCAUAUCUGGAACUCAUUGAUCUAAGGAGGGCUGCGUUCCCAUGAAUUAAGACCCUGUAACAUGGAGUGUGUAUCUGGAAAUAAGCCCCCUAGGUCUUCCCCAAAGGGACCUAAGGGCCAUUCACACACCAUGGGAUGGGAAUAUAUAGACAUGUUGAGGACUUCUGAACAAAAGUACUAUGUUGAAGUUGAUUGUCAGGAAUAAGAAACAUCAUCAUGACAUCCUUGUUAGAGUGGAUGGUAUAGAGCCUAGAUCAUUAGCAGAGCCCUGACCCAGGUCCAGGCCACACUUGCUUUGUCCACUGGGCCCAAUGUCUUUCCUUGGUUGGCAGAACGACUAUAGUGGUCAUUAUCCCCUGGUAUAGGAGUUACUGGUGGGAAAGGCCAGGUAAAAGUCUCCAAAACUGGCCCCCACACACAAUGGCUAAGAUACUGAACUUUUAAAAUUGCUCCUUGGGAGGAGUGGCUGAUACUAAUUCUACUUCUAAGGAUACGAAGAAUGCAUGAGUGGUGGUUGCCAUCAUAUAUGUAUUUAAUCUACUUGCCUGGCCCCUUUAGAAACCAGCUGGAUCCUAUAGAUGGUGAUGGACUUCCAAAAUUCCCCUGGUUGGUAUAAGUCUGGAGAAACCAGGCAUAAGCUUCCAGGAGUCUCUUCCCACAGCGUCACUUGGAACAUACUAAAUUCCCCAAGUAAAGAUGUGACAACAUGUGUGGAGUGUUACCGGUCAGGGAAGCUCAUCUCAGCCUUGGAGUCCAGGGUUUUUAAUGAGAAUCAGUCGUGUGGGCAUAUAGGCCCUGCAUGAUUUACCUCAGCUACUGAAACCCCAGACCACCAUAAAUCACAUUGUUAGGACUAAGCCUCUAGACAACUGGCACAGCUUGGCUCCAGGCCAAAGAAACGCAAAACCACUCUUAUGAAAUGGAACAUUUCAUGAGCUUGGGUCCAGGAGCCAGUCGUAAAAAUAGGUCUUUCUGGGGAACGUGCCUUCCCCACACAAACAUCCUCAGCUUAAGAAGGGCAAAAUGAGCAGUGGCUUUUGAAACUCAGAGAUGAAGAUUUGUGAAGCCUUCCAGGUUAGGUCAUUUGGACUAGCAGAGGUGCUAGUCAAGAGUCAGAGAAAUGCAAGAUGGACAGUAAAGGGUGGGAGCAUAGCUAUCUGAUGUGAACGAAGUCCAGCUGCCUUGGCAGGGAUUACACUGCAUUCCACUCACCUUCCUCUCGUCAAUUUUCCCAGGAAAAGAAACCUGCUGGAGACUCCAAAGAGGUGUCCCCAAACUCUUGAAAGCACUUGACUCAAGCAAUGCAAAGGGUGGCAUCUGGGGACCUGGCCGCGCUGCCCAGAUUCCCUUCAGGACAAAGGUGCUUAUCACCAGCCACCAUGACUUCUCGCUGCUGAUGCUAUGGAAGACACAAAAGAGAAAGUGUGUUCGUGUCUCCAAACAGUUUCCUAUGGCUGCAAGUACUCGUUACAUUGGUCAUUACGGGCAGAAAGUACCUAACUCAGCAGGCAUAGGAGUCACAAGCCAGAAACACUGACUUAGAUAAUUAUGAAUAUUUGUCUCUGCCUCAAAGCAUAAAACCAAGAGAAAAUGGAAGGCAAGUCCUUUAGGCGCUAGCAUAUUUAUUACUUUCAAUGUAUUUGCUUACCUACAUCUCAACAUUUAGGAAGAAGAAAGCAUUUGAUGAAGCAACUGUUGAGAGUCUCCUCCCAAGCUCUCCAGACUCCAUCCUUCCAGUCCUGGAGAAUGCAGGGUGCUGAGCCUUGGGGAGUUCUGCCAGUUAUUUUGCUUAUUUAGAUGCCUUACUAUCAGAAGACGACACUGACAGCAACUUUUGAAAACUGGUGACUAAGAGAAUCCUAAAGAUAGAGCCUACUGAGAAAUGGUCUUUGCACCAAGAAUGUAAGCCAUCUUCUCCUGUCUGUGAGAUAGUGCUCAGAAAGGAUCUAAUUACUGCUCUCACGGAUUUGGCGACCACAGAUAGAGAAUACUCACCUGUCCAGUGGCUUUGUGGACGGUGGGGAGAACCUCAAGAAUCGAGACCAGGGCUUAUUAAGAAGUGAUCAAUCCACAUUUUCACAUUGUGACUAAUGUUUGGAGACUGAUCAGGGAGAAUGUGGACCAAAGCAAAGAAGUAUCAAGACCUGGAUUGAUACACACACACACACACACACACACACAUAUAAAGAUGUUUGACUAUUUGCGUAACUGGCAAGUGACUCAUUAGCCCACCCGGUAGUAACAAGACAUGAGGAAGUCAUUGAAAUUAAUUCUCCUCUGCUUCAAGGGGUCAGGGAAGAGAGCAGAGAAGGAAGACUUGUAAGUCAGGUACACAGUAUAAAUAAGAGCCCGUGGUGGGUGAGAUGAAAACUGCUCCAUAAAGCAAGGUGCAUGUUAGGAAUAGGGACAGUGGAGUGUGCUGGUAAGCUCAGUCUUUGCUCCUGGCAUUCUGGCAUCUGGGGACCCCUCCCGUGUGGGGGAUCCAGCACUCUGUACUACUCACUACAGAAGUCAGAGGGACUUGAAGGGUCGGUGUGCAGUGUGAAUUGAAUACCAGUAACAAGAUGCACCGUGUAAGAAUUUCAUUUCAUUCUGAUGUAAGAACAGUUGUGCCACCCUGUGAGUUGUGAUCUCUUACCUCUGGGCUAGAAGUCCAGGGCAAGUGGAUUGGUCUUUAAGGAGGUGACCUUGAGGACAGACCACUCCCUUUUCACAUUUCACUGGCCCACACUAAUUCCUAGCUGCAAGGGAGGCUGAGAAAUGUAGUCUUCAGUUAGGUGGACCAUGUCCAAUAAACACUAAAAAGAAAGGAGAGAAUAGUUCCUAAAGUGCAGUUAGCAGUUUUUGCGGCAAGGAUAUGUUGUGUCUCUAUGUAGCUGGAUGUCAGCACAUGACCUAGACUUAGACAGGAUCAGUUCUACUGGGCGCUUUGGGUUGGAGACUUGGUCGUAGCUAAGGGAAGAAUAUUUAGUUCCUGCCACCUUCUAAGCCCGAUUCCUUCUGGGCCGCUUUCUGGUAGUAAAUACCUCUCAGGACAGUGUGUGCAAACGUUUCAUGGUA